rnacentral:rRNA from 1 species
AGAGUUUGAUCAUGGCUCAGGAUGAACGCUAGCGGCAGGCUUAACACAUGCAAGUCGAGGGGUAUAGGUUUUCGGACCUAGAGACCGGCGCACGGGUGCGUAACGCGUAUGCAAUCUACCUUUCACAGAGGGAUAGCCCAGAGAAAUUUGGAUUAAUACCUCAUAGUAUAACGACUCGGCAUCGAGAUGUUAUUAAAGUCACAACGGUGAAAGAUGAGCAUGCGUCCCAUUAGCUAGUUGGUAAGGUAACGGCUUACCAAGGCUACGAUGGGUAGGGGUCCUGAGAGGGAGAUCCCCCACACUGGUACUGAGACACGGACCAGACUCCUACGGGAGGCAGCAGUGAGGAAUAUUGGUCAAUGGACGCAAGUCUGAACCAGCCAUGCCGCGUGCAGGAUGACGGUCCUAUGGAUUGUAAACUGCUUUUGUACAGGAAGAAACAGUUCUACGUGUAGAACCUUGACGGUACUGUAAGAAUAAGGAUCGGCUAACUCCGUGCCAGCAGCCGCGGUAAUACGGAGGAUCCAAGCGUUAUCCGGAAUCAUUGGGUUUAAAGGGUCCGUAGGCGGUUUGGUAAGUCAGUGGUGAAAGCCCAUCGCUCAACGGUGGAACGGCCAUUGAUACUGCUAAACUUGAAUUAUUAGGAAGUAACUAGAAUAUGUAGUGUAGCGGUGAAAUGCUUAGAGAUUACAUGGAAUACCAAUUGCGAAGGCAGGUUACUACUAAUGGAUUGACGCUGAUGGACGAAAGCGUGGGUAGCGAACAGGAUUAGAUACCCUAGUAGUCC